GUAUAUAUUCGCGCAUUCGUAAAUAUUAACACGAAGAUUAGAAACAAUUUAAAAAGUAUCUUCAUGGUUUAUUUUGCUGCGCACGAGUUGUUAUUAUAAAAGAUGAUCUUAUAAUGGCGUUUACAGAUAAAUUAAAUUUUGUGUUUCUGUUUUUAUUCAGGUUUUCCUUAUUUUUAUUUUAAGCGCAUCAUAUCAUCAGAUCUUAAAGCAAUAAAUAACCCCCGACAUAAAAACUUAUUUUCCCUUUAAGAAGUAAAAAAUAAUAAAAGAAACUUAAUCUUAAAGUACCUAAGAAUGUACUAAUAAUUCUAAAAAAAAAUACGUCGCGUUGGGGGACCGCUCCUAAUUAUUUCUUACUUAUCUACGAUUUGUUCAUAAGUAUCACAUGCUUGGUGUUAACAUUAAAGUAAAUUGAUGUUUAAGUACUUAACUAUAACGCAGAAAAUAGAAAUAUAGCGGCGCGGGCGGCGGUGUACAGUCCGUAUGAAUGCGGUCCCCCAACGAGACGUAUUUUUUUUAGAAUUAUUAGUACAUUCUUAGGUACUUUAAGAUUAAGUUUCUUUUAUUAUUUUUUACUUUUUAAAGGGAAAUUAAGUUUUUAUGUCGGGGGUUUUUUAAAUUUUUAAUUUAAUUUUUUAUUUCAUACUUUUUAUAGGUAGGUUAGGUUAAGUUAGGCUUAGUAUAUUACAUAUGCUUACUAUAAUUUCAAUUCUUGUUAAGGUAAAGAUUACAUUCAAGGUCAAGCUCGUUCGCUUUGAUUUUUUUUUACUUAUUAAUUACUAGUUUUUGUUUCUAUAAGUAGGCUAAAGAUUACAUUGGUGCAGGUUUUAUAUUUU